rnacentral:tRNA from 6 species
GGACGGGUAGCUCAGUUGGUUAGAGCAACUGGUUUACACCCAGUAGGUCGGGGGUUCGAGUCCCUUCCCGUCCACCA